CAGCUUUGUUUUCCUCCGGUGGUCAACGCAGUAACCGAUUAAGUUGACCAUCCAACGGUGACGAACCCGUGAAAGAAUCUCGAUCUCAUUGUCUACCUGACUCACGUUGUUAUUGUUAUUACCAACGGUAGUGGUGAUUGUUGUUCUCUUGACGGCGGCGAGAAGCUUUCCGUCGUCGAGAACUGCUUUGUAAACUCUGCCGUGACUUCCUUUUCCGAGG